ensembl:lncRNA
CACAGUGCUGACUGGUUAAACCCAGUCACUACAACCUCUGGUCUCCAUAAGAGUUAACAAUACAGUGACCAGGUAGAUCUACAUACUGUAUCCACACUGAUAAAGAGAGAUUCCCCUACACCAGGGCUCUCCAAACCCUGUUUCUGGAGAUCUACUGUCCUGUAGGUUUUCACUCCAACCCUGUUUCUGGAGAUCUACUGUCCUGUAGGUUUUCACUCCAACCCUGUUCCUGGAGAUCUACUGUCCUGUAGGUUUUCACUCCAACCCUGUUCCUGGAGAUCUACUGUCCUGUAGGUUUUCUCCAACCAUAAUCUAGCACACCUGAUUAUAAUAAUUAGCUGGUUGAUAAACUGAAUCAGGUUAGUUACAACUGGGGUUGAAAGGAAAACCUACAGGAGGGUAGGUCUCCGGGAACCGGGUUGGACAGCCCUGCCCUACACAUUUGACAAGCUCAGUCUUCAAUGAAGCAGUCUUCAUGGUUUGGGUUGUUCUAGAGGCUGGGUUGUUCCCGAGUGGCGCAGCGGUCUAAGGCACAGCGUCUCCUUGCAAGAGACAUCACUACAGUCCCCGGUUUGUAUCCAGGCUGUAUUACAUCCGGCCGUGAUUGGGAGUCCCAUAGGGCGGCGCACAAUUGGCCCAGCGUCGUCCGGGGUAGGCACGUCA